rnacentral:rRNA from 1 species
CCAGCCGUAAACGAUGGGUACUAGGUGUUGUCACUUCAUUGUGGCAGUGCCGGAGUUAACGCAAUAAGUACCCCGCCUGGGGAGUACGGCCGCAAGGCUGAAACUCAAAGGAAUUGACGGGGGCCCGCACAAGCGGUGGAGCAUGUGGUUUAAUUCGAAGCAACGCGUAGAACCUUACCAGGGCUUGACAUCCCUCUGACAGGUGUAGAGAUACAUUUUCUUUUCGGAGCAGAGGAGACAGGUGG